CAGGUGCCCCUUACGCACUUUAGAGUAUCUUCCAGCUCUGCCUCUCUUGCCUCCACUACCCUCAUAGACAUGGCUCUGGCAGUGCCCCACCUCUCCACCUAGUACAGCUAACUAGAUUGAGGCAGACACCAGACUUAAACAACACUGAUCAAAUUGUUUUCAGAAAUUUAAAGUAGGUACACAAGACAGCUGAAUGGUCUGCAAACUUGAGAGGUCUAAGAUAGCCGCUUUCUAUUAUGUGCCCAAAGAAGCUGAAGAAUUUCUGCUCCUAAAUAAGAACAGAGUAGAUACCUGUGCAGAAAGGGGCCAUGAUGCCAGCAGCAGAGAGGGACCAUCUUGGAGAGCCUUCUAUUCUCUAGCACAGCCAGUCUCUGCCCUCAGAUUCCAGAGAUUUCCCCCUAAAUUACUAUACACACAUUCUCUUUUCUUGCUAGGGUUUCUGUGCCUCCCAACCCAAAGAGCAUUGAUUAAAACAUUCCAGGAGCUAGGCCCCAUGAAGACGGAGCCACAGGCCAUUCAUUUACUGACCUAACUGCCUUGUAGAAGACAGACAACAGAAAAAACCUCAAAUAUCUACUCAAGAGACAUUCUUAUAUAGAGAUGAGAUGGGAGAAACUAGAAAGGAUUAUGGAGAAAACCAAAUGAGAAUCUUAGGAAAACCUCUUGAAAGGGUAUCCAGAUCGUGAGCAGCAUCUUGUGACCCUAUAAGAAAUAAAUCAUAUCACCUUCAACAUGAAAAUAAUCAUCCGGACUUUUAAUAUAAUUUUUGCAGGAAUUCUAUUAGUUAUUCAUUUAUU